rnacentral:rRNA from 1 species
UACGAAGGGGGCUAGCGUUGCUCGGAAUCACUGGGCGUAAAGCGCACGUAGGCGGCUUUUUAAGUCAGGGGUGAAAUCCUGGAGCUCAACUCCAGAAUUGCCUUUGAUACUGAGAGGCUUGAGUCCGGGAGAGGUGAGUGGAACUGCGAGUGUAGAGGUGAAAUUCGUAGAUAUUCGCAAGAACACCAGUGGCGAAGGCGGCUCACUGGCCCGGUACUGACGCUGAGGUGCGAAAGCGUGGGGAGCAAACAGG